GGACGAACGCUGGCGGCGUGCUUAACACAUGCAAGUCGAGCGAUGAAGCUUCUUCGGAAGUGGAUUAGCGGCGGACGGGUGAGUAACACGUGGGUAACCUGCCUCAUAGAGGGGAAUAGCCUUCCGAAAGGAAGAUUAAUACCGCAUAAGAUUGUAAUAUCGCAUGAUAUAGCAAUUAAAGGAGCAAUCCGCUAUGAGAUGGACCCGCGUCGCAUUAGCUAGUUGGUGAGGUAACGGCUCACCAAGGCGACGAUGCGUAGCCGACCUGAGAGGGUGAUCGGCCACAUUGGGACUGAGACACGGCCCAGACUCCUACGGGAGGCAGCAGUGGGGAAUAUUGCACAAUGGGGGAAACCCUGAUGCAGCAAACCGCCGCGUGAGUGAUGACGGUCUUCGGAUUGUAAAGCUCUGUCUUCAGGGACGAUAAUGACGGUACCUGAGGAGGAAGCCACGGCUAACUACGUGCCAGCAGCAGC
rnacentral:rRNA from 1 species